CCAGACUCCUACGGGAGGCAGCAGUGAGGAAUAUUGGUCAAUGGGCGGGAGCCUGAACCAGCCAAGUCGCGUGAGGGAAGACGGUCCUAUGGAUUGUAAACCUCUUUUGCCGGGGAGCAAGCCUGAGCACGUGUGCCCAGGCGGAGAGUACCCGGAGAAAAAGCAUCGGCUAACUCCGUGCCAGCAGCCGCGGUAAUACGGAGGAUGCGAGCGUUAUCCGGAUUUAUUGGGUUUAAAGGGUGCGCAGGCGGGCUGUUAAGCCGGCGGUAAAAAUUCAGGGCUCAACCCUGUCGAGCCGUCGGAACUGGCAGUCUUGAGUGGGCGAGAAGUAUGCGGAAUGCGUGGUGUAGCGGUGAAAUGCAUAGAUAUCACGCAGAACGCCGAUUGCGAAGGCAGCAUACCGGCGCCCAACUGACGCUGAGGCACGAAAGCGUGGGGAUCGAACAGGAUUAGAUACCCCAGUAC
rnacentral:rRNA from 1 species